GAUGAACGCUGGCGGCGUGCCUAAUACAUGCAAGUCGAGCGAACAGACGAGGAGCUUGCUCCUCUGACGUUAGCGGCGGACGGGUGAGUAACACGUGGAUAACCUACCUAUAAGACUGGGAUAACUUCGGGAAACCGGAGCUAAUACCGGAUAAUAUAUUGAACCGCAUGGUUCAAUAGUGAAAGACGGUUUUGCUGUCACUUAUAGAUGGAUCCGCGCCGCAUUAGCUAGUUGGUAAGGUAACGGCUUACCAAGGCGACGAUGCGUAGCCGACCUGAGAGGGUGAUCGGCCACACUGGAACUGAGACACGGUCCAGACUCCUACGGGAGGCAGCAGUAGGGAAUCUUCCGCGAUGGGCGAAAGCCUGACGGAGCAACGCCGCGUGAGUGAUGAAGGUCUUCGGAUCGUAAAACUCUGCUAUUAGGGAAGAACAAAUGUGUAAGUAACUAUGCACGUCUUGACGGUGCCUAAUCAGAAAGCCACGGCUAACUACGUG
rnacentral:rRNA from 1 species